rnacentral:lncRNA from 1 species
UUUUCCUUCGUCACUUUAAGUGUGGAUUAUCUUCAUUGUGGUAAAAGAAUAUUACUUUAUUUAGGAUUAUAAUGAAGGUCGUGGGUAGAAAGGUUGACCCUAGACUCUCGCUUUGUCCUAGUUUGUGUUUUUAAUGUUUUAUUUUUAAGUUAAAAUAUAUUAAUAAAAAAAGUAAAAAUACAAUAUAUGGGGUCAUAAACCAAACCAAGGAAUAGAUUCUAAGGGCCAAAUAAGAAAAGAUCGUCCAACAUUAGAUUAAAACAAGAGGACAUGCUAUAGAUUCUAAAUUAGGAUAAAAAAAAGUCUCUAAAAACACCUUAAGCAAGAACAUUAAUUAGAAAGAUUAUGAACGAGUAGUAUAGGAUCAAGUUUU